rnacentral:rRNA from 1 species
UACGAAGGGGCUAGCGUUGCUCGGAAUCACUGGGCGUAAAGCGCACGUAGGCGGAUCUUUAAGUCAGGGGUGAAAUCCUGGAGCUCAACUCCAGAACUGCCUUUGAUACUGGGGAUCUCGAGUCCGGAAGAGGUGAGUGGAACUCCGAGUGUAGAGGUGAAAUUCGUAGAUAUUGGAAGAACACCAGUGGCGAAGGCGGCUCACUGGUCCGGUACUGACGCUGAGGUGGCGAAAGCGUGGGGAGCAACAGG